rnacentral:rRNA from 1 species
GACGAACGCUGGCGGCGUGCCUAAUACAUGCAAGUAGAACGCACAGUUUAUACCGUAGCUUGCUACACCAUAGACUGUGAGUUGCGAACGGGUGAGUAACGCGUAGGUAACCUGCCUGGUAGCGGGGGAUAACUAUUGGAAACGAUAGCUAAUACCGCAUAAUAUUGAUUAUUGCAUGAUAAUUGAUUGAAAGAUGCUAUUGCAUCACUACCAGAUGGACCUGCGUUGUAUUAGCUAGUAGGUGAGGUAACGGCUCACCUAGGCGACGAUACAUAGCCGACCUGAGAGGGUGAUCGGCCACACUGGGACUUAGACACGGCCCAGACUCCUACGGGAGGCAGCAGUAGGGAAUCUUCGGCAAUGGACGAAAGUCUGACCGAGCAACGCCGCGUGAGUGAAGAAGGUUUUCGGAUCGUAAAGCUCUGUUGUAAGAGAAGAACGGGUGUGAGAGUGGAAAGUUCACACUGUGACGGUAUCUUACCAGAAAGGGACGGCUAACUACGUG